UCAGCUACCGAUUUAUCUGCAA
rnacentral:siRNA from 1 species